rnacentral:lncRNA from 1 species
AUGCGCACAGACAAAAUUAAGAGAAUGAGAGCUGAGUAUUGGGUGCAGACCCCGCAGCCAUGGAGACUUCUUCCUGCUUGCAGGCCGAUUUCGAGACCCUGCUUAGCUGCUUUCAGGAGAUGGACUGUGUAUGCUUCCAGGACUUCACAGAGCUCAGAACCUCUGCAGCAAGUCCUAGUCUCCUGUGAGCCAUGGCAGUACAUGGCAAAUUACAGGAAAGGUAGAAAAAUGAGACUUUGAGAAGAAGCUGAGCUUUGAGUCUGAUCAGUGCUGCUCUGGGCAGCAAAGACCUUAUUUAGAUUUUUUAAGCAACUGAUUUUUCUCUUCUUGCUGAUGAGUAGGGCAGUUUGGGUAGGUAGUGUUAUACUUUGGUCUAAGUAUUUGAGUUAAACUGCUUUUUUGUUAACGAGUGGACUGGUUGUCAGCAGGUUUAUUUUUCCUGCUAUUGUUACUAGAGAUAUUAACAUUUAGAGUGUGAGCUGGUGAGAUUAAAUUUUUUUAAUAUCCCAGCUAGAGAUAAUGACCUUUAACUGACCUAAAGAAGUUUAUUGUGAUUUAGGUUUUUUUUUCCUGUCCUUUUUCUUCAGUAAGCCCAACAACACUAUAUUGAGUUUAACUUUUAAAAUGAAGUUGAUGUUCUUAUAGGUUAACACCCCUAAAUAAACCUGAAGCAGGUGUUUUUCUCUUAGACAUAUUUAAAAUACCUAAAGGAAAGCUUAGAUGGACUUGUGGCACAAUAAAUGCAUUUAAUGUCAACUAAGACAGGCUGUUAAAAAUGUGGCCAGUGAGUGUUUGCUUAUAUAGGAAAGAAUAUCUAGACAGUAUUUUUUGAGAAUAACAUAGUUAUGAUACUCCUUAUCUGUUGGACAAUAUCCCGGAUUUGCUUAUACUCUGUGCCUACAAUAUUGAGUUUAAGAAUUUGGGAUAAGAGGAAUUGUUAAACAAAUUGCUUCUAUUCUUGGAAAAAUAGAAGCAUAAAGUGUUACUAGUACAAAUAUCACUGUGACCUCCUUCCUCUAGUGACAGGACUGGUUUUAUGCUAGAUCAUUAUCUGGCAAGUAGGGAGAGGCUCUGACAGGGUGAUAACUUUUUAUAAGAUGAGACACUUGAAAUAUGUUUUCCUCCAGUUGUCCAAUCUCUAAUAUUUGCAAUUUGUUUAGAUUGUCAGUGGUGGCUCAAGAAAUGUUCUUGGUAGAAUUAAGAAACGCACAAAACUUGAGUUUUCUGUUACUUGACUUUAAAAGGAAAUUUGACUUGUAAUAAUUAUCCUUAUAUGUAAAAGUCUCAUGUCCAAAUAAAUUACAUGGCAAAAUUACUUUACAAAAUGUUUGUACACACUUUGUAACUUUAAGUUUUCAUUUGAAAAUGUGAAAGUACCAAGUAAAAUAGACUUCAGUCUUGAGUGCCAAGAAAAAUUUUUAAGAAAGAUGGUUAAUGAAUGAGUCUAUAGGGUCCUAAUCUUAGUGAAAAUGUAGAAAGACCAUGCUGAUUUCUUUGGUAUCUGUUUAUUAAUCCAAAUCCAAGCUUAGAAGAAACGUUUAACAUUGAGCACCUUUACCUUCAUGGAUGUUUCAGCUUGCUCUUGCCAAGAAAAGAGUGCUUGAGUUACAGAAAGUGUAAUUAGCAUGAAGAAUUCAGCCUUUUUUAAACGUCUAGAUAUCAAAAUAGAUCUUGUUAUAUAUGAAUUUUCUGAGACGACACUGCCUCUAUUUCUAUAACUAUUUCACUUGGACUAUCUAAGCAGUCCAAUGAAUGUCUCCCUAAAUGUGGUUAUUGAAAACCAAAUAGCUGCCUCACAAUUAAGUACAUGUUAUUUAAAGACAGAAGAAAAAUAUUCAAGUUUGAAUUGAGUGUGUAGGCUUCCCAUUGUUAUAGUUUUUCUACACUAGUCAAUGAUUUAAUCUAAAUUCUUAGUGUUUGUAAAGGGUUAAUUGUCCUCCAUCAAACUGGUAUUAAAUAAUUCCACUUAUAGGAAGGAUGGUGUGGAAGAGGUAGAAACUGGGGUCUACUAGUUCAUAUAUCUUUGAGUCAAUAAAGACUAAUAUCCAAAGUUGAGUUGGUUAUUUUGACAAAUGGUAAAAAUAAUCUUGGAGAUAAAUCAGUAUAAUUCUAUUUACUAGAAGAUCACAGGAUAUAUCCAUCAUACUUUUCAGGAUAGAUUGUUUUUACUGUGGAGCAAAUAGGUUAAAAUUAUACCACAUGAUAAGUUGCAUUUAGGUCUAAAAAAGAAUCUGUAGAGAAAUCUAUGCAAUAUAUAAUUUGUCCAAAUUAGUUUUCAUUUGGGGAAAAGAGUUCUAAAAUAUCUCCAAAGCAGUUUUUUCAUCAGUUGAAAAAUCCUUCAGAAAGAGAACUACUGGGAAACCAUGGUUUGUGGUGGUGGAAAAGAAAAGCUCCCUGUUUUUGGAGGAAAUAACUUUAAAAAUACUUAAGUGCUUAAGUUUACUUGGUGCAGUUAAAAAUUUAACUUUUCAAUUUUAACAUUGCUGUUACAUCUGAAAUAAACUUAUGUGAUGGUCUGGUAAAAAAAACCAACAACAACACAGUGUGCAUCCCUGAUAUGAUGGCUCCCCAUCCCUUGGAUUGUAUAACAUGUGAGUAUAAAACAAUUUCCAGC